UGUUUGGUGGAAAAUAAAUUCCCACCAUAAAAGUUUUUUCAAAACACGAGAAAAUGAUGCCUUCUUUUGGGAAAAUGUCUUACACUUUUUUUUUCGGCAAGACAUUUUCUAAUCGAUUUUCCCUUCACAUCCCAACACUCUGCUAAAUCUUCUCCCCUUUCCUCUUCCCCUUCCCCUUGGGUUGCAAAUCAAUGCCAUUGCCAGGCCUGAGUGGUGUAAUCCCUACCCAGAAAUCAACAUUUCCUGUAGUUCUCAUAUAAUUGAGGAGCAGAAAGGAACGAGCAGAGAAUCCUUGGUUUUAGUCUUGCAGAUUCUUAUCAAAUGCACAUUGACACACUGGUAUCCAUGACCCAAAGUAUGAGAGCAAGUAGGUCUUCCUUUAGCUCUAGCAAUGGGCAUUAAGAAGUUCCUUUUCACAGUAUUGCUUCUAUUUCAAAUGGGGACAAUUACGAUAUAAUGAAGAACAAGCAGAGCCAUUACCGAAGAAGCAUGGGAGAUACUAGGGCCAUUGAAGUUUGGAUUUUAAGUAUGCCAUCUUUCAUUGGUCACUUACAGCAAGAUGAUGAUGCUAAUAUGGGAAUGCUCCUUUGCUUGUGGACACAACUUGUGUAUUAAUGGAUUUUUGUAAUUUUUUUCCCUUUCCUUGUGCAAGUGCCUUGUGUAACAUGGUUAUAUUUAUGUAUGUAUAUGUACAUGUAAAAAAAUUGUGAAUUCAGUCAUAAUGUUGUAGUUUGGUUUACACAAUUUGUUUAGUGAAUUUAGCUAAACAAUUAAAUGAAAAGAAAAAGUCAAAUAUAUGUUUGUUUCAUUUAAAA